GGCCCAUUAGCUCAAUUGGAUUAGAGCAUCUGACUACGGAUCAGAAGGUUGAGGAUUCGAAUUCUUCAUGGGUCA
rnacentral:tRNA from 1 species